rnacentral:rRNA from 1 species
ACAUGCCUACAACAUAACGUUAAUGCACCAGAUCUCAUUAGAACUUUGCAGUUAAGCGCACUCAGGCUAGAGUAGUACUAGGAUGGGUGACCGAUCAGGAAGUCCAAUGUUUUACAUGCC